GAAAGAAUAAAAAAUAAAAAAAAAAGGCAACAGAAGAUGAAAAUGACAAUUUCUAAAGUUGGCAUUGAGACGGAUGACUUGAUGUGUUUGAAACUUCUUCAGUUUCAGUGAUAACAGCUCCGUCAUGCCCCAUCAGAGAAGAUAUCAUGCCAUUGACCCAAUCAAAAACGGACACAUAAUGGUCCAUGAAUUUUAUUUUCAAAGAUUCCCAAUAUCUGGUUGUUCCAAGUUCCAGUUGGAAGGUACAUUUAGAAUUUAAGGUAAGAUGCUUUUCUAAAUAUUGAACCAAUGAGGGGAAAAGGAAGACUUAUUGCAAAUAAUGACCCAGUGAGGGGGAAAAGAAGACUUACUGCAAAUAAUGAGCCAAUGAGAGGGAAAGGAAGAUGAUUCAAAUUAGCAUUAACUGACUGUGGAAUUCCUUGUCUUCUUAGUUGACUCCAAGUCCAACUGAAAUGUAUUAAAUAUAGAAAAGUCCAACUAAAUAGUAACUGUGCUGCAAGAGUUCCUGAGUGUUAAUUUAUAAAUUGAAUAAAUAAUGGAAAAACAGAUGAACUCCAUGAAUUUGGACGUUAGACCAUCAAUGGAAGGCCUCAAACUUUCUUUUUUGUUUGCCUCUUUAGUUUCCAUCUUAAUAAUGUCCAGUGCAGUAGACAUAAUAACUAAAACCCAGUUCAUUGUAGGUAGCUAGACCAUAGUUUCAUCUGGUGGGAGCUUUGAGAUGGGAUUUUUCAGCCUGGGCAAUUCCCAGAAUCAUUACUUGGGAAUAUGGUACAAGAAAUUAUCUUCUAGGACUGUUGUAUGGGUUGCCAACAGAGAAAUCCCACUCAUUGAUUCAUCAGGUGUCUUGAAGGUAAUUGACCCAGGAAUUCUGGCCCUUCUCAAUGGUACCGACAGUGUCAUUUGGUCUGCCAAUGUGACAAGAUCCACAGUAUAGGAUCCUGUUGGUCAACUUUUAGAGUCGGGAAACCUUGUUGUGAAAGAUGCCAAUGAUGAUAACCCAGAGCAUUUUCUCUGGCAAAGUUUUGAUCAUCCAUGUGAUACUCUUUUACUAGGCAUGAAACUUGGAAAAAACUUUGUAAGUGGCUUAGAGCGGCACCUUUCAUCAUGGAAGAGCUCUGAUGAUCCAGGUCAAGGUGAUUUUGCAUUUUGGUGUGAUCCCCAAGAAUAUCCACAACUUAUUCUGAGCAAUGGUUCCAUUGAGCUGUUCUGGACUGGACCAUGGAAUGGUCUUGGAUUUAGUGGGAAUCCAAACCUUAAACCAAAUUCCAUCUACACAUAUGGAUUGGUUUUCACCAAGGAGGAGGUGUAUUACGGUUAUGAUCUCGUUAACAGCUCAGUUGUUUCAAGGUUUGCUCUAAGUCAUGAUGGCAUUAUGCAGCGCUCGACAUGGAUUGAUCGAACCCAGGAAUGGGUCCUUUACCUGACUGCACCGAUAGAUAAUUGUGAUUAUUAUAAACCAUGUGGUCCAUAUGGUAGCUGUAACGUUGGAAACUCGCCUGUAUGUGGUUGUUUGAGUAACUUUGUGCCUAAAUACCCAAAGGAAUGGGAAAGCGGAGACUGGUCUAAUGGGUGUGUUCGGAGGACACUACUGGAUUGCCAUAAAGGAGAUGGAUUUCUCAAGUAUUCACAUUAUAAAAUGCUAGACACAAAGUAUUCCUGGUUUGACAAGAACAUGACCAUGAGGGAAUGCUAGAUACAAUGCUUGAAAAACUGCUCUUGUAUGGCUUACACAAAUUUAGACACAAGAGGAGGUGGAAGUGGCUGCUUGCUUUGGUUUGAUGAAUUGAUUGAUAUGAGAGAGUUCAGUGAAAAUGGGCAAGACAUUUACAUAAGGAUGGCUUCCUCUGAGUUAGUCCGACGAGUUGGCUUCAGUGUCAAGAAAAGAGAGAUAGUUGGAGUGACCUUGGCAUUAUUAUUUGGACUUCUUCUGCUGGGCAUGAGCCUAACCUUGUGUCUCCAAAAGAAGAAGAAGAAUUCACAGCUGAACAGAGAAGGUAUCUGAGACUUGUUUGUUCUGUGCUAAACUUUUGUGCCUUAGUCUUAAUUUAAAAAGAGAAAAGAAAAGAAAUGCUCACUCAUGUGUAUAUAUAUAUUCUAUAAUUAUGUGUUGAUGUGUUCAUCCGUGUAAUGGUAUAUUACUUUGUUAGAUCUACUUGUCUCAUUUACAUCCACUUCAUCCCCGCUUUACAAGAAUUCUAAUGCACAACUCUGAACAAGGUUACAAUGACAAAAGCCAGAACGAAGAUCUAAAGUUACCAUUGUUUGACUUGGCUGUAAUAGCUAAUUCCACAAAUAACUUUUCAAUCGACAACAAGCUUGGAGAGGGUGGAUUCAGACCUGUUUACAAGCUUCUAGACUCGUGUUCUGCAGUCACUGACAGUGAGUCUCGUCUCUACUAUGCCCAUUGUCUCACAAUGAGCAACCAUUAUUCAUUCUGCACCAGAGGCCAAGCUAUAAUAACCAUGUUUAUUGUAAGCUUCCUUAGCUUUGUCUCCUUUUCCUUUGACUGGUAUAAGUUUCUUAUUAUAUUGUGUGUUUUACAACAAUUCUUGUAAUGGGUUUUUGCUGUUUUGUGCAA